rnacentral:lncRNA from 1 species
CAGCCAGAGUUAGAUCUUCUUUCAUGAUCAAUUCUCCGAAUAACGGGUGGUUUGUUGAGAGUCCUUUUUGGUAGGAUGCACUAGCUAUUAAGUCGUUACAUCCGACUAUCUUUGCCUUCUCUACUUUGAACUUCUUCAUAUAGUCGCGAAGCAAUUCCUUUGGGUUUUUCUUGACGUUGAACAAGUGGUCGGACUUCUUCUUGAUUGAGCGAUAGGAUGAAUAUUCUUUGGUGAAAACCAAAGAAAGUUAGUUGAAACUCCGGGUGGAUUGCAGCAACAAGGUGUGGAACCAAUCUUGCACCUCACCUUGUAAAAUGGUGGCGAAUAUCUCACACAUGAUAAUGUCGUUAUUUCGAUAGAGGAUCAUUGUGCUUUGGUAGU